GACGAACGCUGGCGGCGUGCUUAACACAUGCAAGUCGAACGAAGAGGCGCACGCGUGAGUAAUACGUGGGUAACCUUCCCUCCUUUUUGGGAUAAGCCUUGUAAACGGGGUCUAAUACCGAAUAUCGGGGGAUGGGCUCGCGGCCUCUCAGGUUGUUGGUGGGGUGAUGGCCUACCAAGGCGGUGCCGGGUAGCCGUCCGGAGAGGGUGAUGGGCCACAUUGGGACGGAGAUACGGACCAGACGACUACAGGAGGCAGCAGUGGGGGAUAUGGCACAAUGGGCGCAAGCCUGAUGCAGGGAGUCCGCGUGGGGGAUGAAGGCUUACGGGUUGUAAAGCUCGUUCGCUAGCGAACGGGUAGGUGGAGAAGAAGCGCCGGCUAACGACGUGCCAGCAGCCGCGGUAAUAC
rnacentral:rRNA from 1 species